UGAACUUACAGAGAUCCACCCACUUCUGCCAUCCAAGUGCUGGGAUUAAAGGUGUAUACCACCACCGACCGACCAACCAAUAUUCGUAUUUUACCUCAUAUUAGUGAUUAAGGAAUAAACUGGGUAUGGUGUUGUACACCUGUAACCCCCAUAACUUGGGAGGAGAGUGAAGGAGGAGGAUUGUUGUGAGGUUGAGGCCAGCCUGGACCAUAUAUCAAGUAGUAUUCCAGCCAAGUGUCUAAAAAUAAAAAAUUAAGGAACAGCUUAUAAUGAGUGCCAGGUUAUUUUCUUAUAGAAUCUGGGAUGAACCUAUAGUACUAUAACUUGCCUGUACCUACAGACCCAACAUAAGAGGUCAGUAGUAUUAUUACUUCGGUAGGAAUUUGGUUGUCAGAGUUUUGAACACAGGCACCAGAAGGCCAGCGUUGGGACCCUUGAAUUCUGUAAAGAGAACUAGCAGUGCUUAUAAUAGGAGGGGUAGCCCUCCUUUCUGCUUUUGGGACUUUCCUCUGGUGGAGGAAGUGCACCAGAAAUGAGGAAGGGCUUAAGAAGCAAGUCUCUCAGCAUUCUGACUGACUGACUGCUGGGUAACUAGCAAUAUGAUAGGAGUUGCUGUCUUCGUAACAAAUGGAGUGUCUGUGUUUGUUUUGUUAUGUUUGAGACAGGGUCUCUAUGUAGCUCUAGCUGUCCCUGUCCUGGAACUCUCUAGGCUAGUCUCCAACUCACAGAGAUCCUACUGCCUCUGCCUUCUGAGUGUGGGGAAUAAAGACAUGUGUGUGCUAGGCUCCUGGGUGUGGGGAAUAAAGACAAGUGUGUGCUAGGUUCCUGGGUGUGGGGAAUAAAGACAUGUGUGUGCUAGGCUCCUGGGUGUGGGGAAUAAAGACAAGUGUGUGCUAGGUUCCUGGGUGUGGGGAAUAAAGACAUGUAUGUGCUAGGCUCCUGGGUGUGGGGAAUAAAGACAAGUGUGUGCUAGGUUCCUGGGUGUGGGGAAUAAAGACAUGUGUGUGCUAGGUUCCUGGCCUGCAGUGCCUGUUUUGACUACUGUUUAGGCCUUAGGUACUUGACAAAUUCUUAUAGUCCCAUCCCCAUACCAAAGAUUGAACCUAGCAUGCCAUAUUCUCCCAUAGAGAGAUAUUUCUAUCCCUCCUCUACUUUACAAUACCAUUUUGAGAAGAGAAGGGUUACUGUCCCCACUUUAUGGAUGAAGGCAUUUCAACUCAGAGAUGAAGGGCCUUGUCCAGUGCCGCACAGCUAAGAGGUAGCACGUACUUUCACC
rnacentral:sRNA from 1 species